AUUUAACGCUGGCGGCAUGCCUUACACAUGCAAGUCGAACGGUAACGGGCCUUCGGGUGCCGACGAGUGGCGAACGGGUGAGUAAUACAUCGGAACGUGCCCGAUCGUGGGGGAUAACGAGGCGAAAGCUUUGCUAAUACCGCAUACGAUCUACGGAUGAAAGCAGGGGACCGCAAGGCCUUGCGCGGACGGAGCGGCCGAUGGCAGAUUAGGUAGUUGGUGGGAUAAAAGCUUACCAAGCCGACGAUCUGUAGCUGGUCUGAGAGGAUGAUCAGCCACACUGGGACUGAGACACGGCCCAGACUCCUACGGGAGGCAGCAGUGGGGAAUUUUGGACAAUGGGCGCAAGCCUGAUCCAGCCAUGCCGCGUGCAGGAUGAAGGCCUUCGGGUUGUAAACUGCUUUUGUACGGAACGAAAAGCCUUCUUUUAAUACAGGAGGGUCAUGACGGUACCGUAAGAAUAAGCACCGGCUAACUACGUG
rnacentral:rRNA from 1 species